GUCCCUAUAGUUUAACGGAUAGAAUAAAGGCCUCCGAAGCCUUAGAUCGAGGUUCAAUUCCUCGUAGGGACA
rnacentral:tRNA from 1 species